CUUGCUCGGCCGUCCCGCUCGCCGCCGCCUCCUCUCCUCCCCCGCGUCCCGCUUCUCCCACCUCGUCGUCGCCUCCUCUCCCCUCCCGCGCCCCCCUCGCCCUGCCCAUCCCUGCCCGUCCAAGCUCAGGGUCGAGGGGCGCGCCGGGUCCGGGCGAGGCGGCUCGAUGGUGAGCGCGAUGGAUCUCCAGCUAGCUCGGGCGUGUGGACGUGUUGAUGAGCGCGCCAGCGGCCGUGGCGAGCUCGAGCCCGGGAUAAACCUAGCGUCAUGGUCGCCAUGGACGCCAGCGCUGCACCUGCACCGCCGGUUGGUACUCCCCGACACCGUUCGGGCCCUCCUGCACUGCAUCACCCUCCUACCGCGCCUACUAGACCUACAGGAAGUGCUCAUGUAUCAAAUUCCAGUUGUUACUCAACCUGUAGUGGAUUCCAUUUGCUGAAGAUAUCGUCCAUUGUCACCAGUGUCUCCUUCUAUCUGGCCUUCAUGGAUCAGUGGUUCAACCCUUCUCCUCCUUACUUUCACUAUUCUUCUAUUCUAGAUACACAUACUGAUGGCAGAAGAGCGCCUAUAAUACAGUUUGGUCCCUUUAGAUAAAAAAGUGGAUGAUGAUUAGCUUGAGGAGAAGAUCCUCUCUAAAGAAGCACAUGCUACUGCAGUGAUCCUCGAGAGCGUUGGAUACAUUCAAGAUACUGAGGACUGAGACCAAACAGCGAAGCGAUGCCUUAUUUGAUUGUAAACUCAACCGAGUGACACAGGUUAGUAUAAGUUCGUAAUUUUUCUGUAGUUCUAUGCUCCUUUAGAUCUUCGUUUAUUUUACCGUGUUAAUGUUGUUGCAUGGUGGGUAAAUAUUCUACUACCGUAGCUGCCAUACCUAAGUGCAACUAAAGUACAUAUGUUUCCUUGGAUGUUGAAACUUAAUUCUUCUGCUUAAACUUGAAUAUAGGCAACUAAAGUACAUAUGCUUCUCUACAAUAAUUUAUCAAGUUUAAUCUAAUUUGUGGUGCGGAGGUAAAUGUGCUUUUCUGGAUAUAUUGCAGUGUAGUCCAAAUUUGGAUCACGAGUGUAGUCAUUAAUUUCACAAAUGCCUGAUGUACAUGUCUCCCUGCCCCUCCUGGCAAUAUCAUGAACCAAGACAAGGAUGCAACAAGACAGUUACAAAAAGGGAACACCACGCAAGCAUUAAGUUUCAGGACAGGUUACAGUACAUUCAGAGAUGGGAUGCAUGUCCACUUGUUAAAUGAACACAUAGGUUUAGAUGAUAGCAGGCAGUGUUCAUGGUUGAUAAAAAUCCCCUAAUUUGGUGUGCUUCUGUAUCAAUCAUGCACUCAUACCUGAAAUCCUUCUUUAUCAUAUAUGAUGGCUUGUGGUUUGCUAUUGCAUGACAUGAUCCAUGGUUCGAGUCUUACAUUUACUUACAUAAAGCUACGUGAUGUUGAUAUUAACACAUGCCAUUUCCUAGAUCCUGCAUAUAUAUGUUAAGCAAAUUGUUUCCUAUAUGUCACUGACCCAAAAAAAUUAACUUAAUCUAAACCUCCCCUGUUUCUCCUAUAUAUCUCUAUUUUUCUGAACUUAACAACAGAACAACAUCAUAUAUUAUAUCAGCACACAAGUGAAACAGAAAGCAUUUUAUUCAGAUUUUUGGUACCCUUUGUGUAAAAUUAUUCCUUACUGGUUGUGGAUUUAGAGACGCGGUAUCUGGUUGAUGAACCGUUUUUUCUCCUAAGCUCCACAAUUCUCUUCCAUCUAAAAUGACCGACACGGUCAAGUGGUGUAGUAGUUGAUGGCUGAGAGCUAAAAUCAAUGCAUUAUAAUGUAGUCAUUGGAGUUCUCUUUUGGGCUUUUAUUUAACUUUUGAUGUACAAUGUUUACAACUACCCAAAAAAUUAAGCUAUGUGUGACGUGAUUCAUAACUAAGCAUGGUCUAAUGUUUUGAGGGCAAUGACAAGGACCAUUCCAUUUGACGAGGCUCAUGCUGCCCGGAUUUCGUUAAACAAGCCAUCUAUGUCCCAAAGUUGAGGACCGUUUGGAGAAGAGGCCACCCAGACAAUUUAAACAGAUGCAGGAUAUGAUUAGGCGCACAUAUACAAGUAUCUUUAUGACGACACUUGCACCAGUUUUCAUCGUUGUUGUUCUUGCCUGUUGCCUCCCCCCCUAUCGCUUCGCUAGCUGCGGCAAGCUCAGGGCACAAUCAUCAGCUUCAGCUGCAUCAAUGCAACUUGCUGGUCGAUGGUCCUGCUACCCUAGGUGAUGAGGGGGACGGUACUUCAAGUGAACUAAGGAGUGUGUCGUUGCUGAUGAGAGCCCCCUUCCCUUUGAAACCAAAAAGGCAAGGCGACACUGAAACCAGAGAGGUUAGGUGUUGUUGGGUGCUCGCCCUUUUGGUUUUUUGGUGCGUUUGUGCUCGUCGGUGGGACGGUGCAAGGCGCAACUCCGGCGCGGUUCCUUGCUGGUUGGACGACGUUCACGUGCAACCCCGGUGUGCACUGAGUACUGCCUCGGCUACAACCUCCCUCGGCAGGCUGGGUGGGCUCCUCGUUAGCAUCGGCUUUCCCUGCCUGCCACUCCUCUCUGAUGGAGCGGACCUUUGGAUGCUCCUGGGCCUCUGGCCGUGUGCUAGAAAAAUGAGACUGCUCGAAACCCCUGGCUCCUCAGCGACUGGCGCAUUCUGGCUGUCCGAUCUCUUUGCUUGAUUGACUUCCGGCCGUCCGAUCGAGCGGUGGAGGGGCGUCGGCUGUCGGAUCGAAUCCCGCCCCCUGUAGCACGCUCGAAGCCCGCACGACCCCGCCCGGUGAUUGCUCCAUCUGCCUGGUCGUAGCUCGCUGAUCUGUGGGGUCCCGUUUGGUGGGCCCCGAUCGUCAGAGAGCGGGUGUGCGGGUGCGCCUGUAUACGUCAUGUGCCGCGCGCGCCGUCGGAAAUAUCCCGUGCCACCACAUGGGAAUAUUGCCCCCCGCCGAGGGCUUUUUCAACUUUGCGCGUCCAUGCUGCUUGCGUGGUGGGAGGUGGUUGGUGCGCCGUGGCUAUGUGGUGGGGGUCGGCUGGCUCCCUUCUCAUUCGCCCCCCUCGUUCCCCUUUCUCUAUCUCCCGUCUCCUUUCGCCGCCGCCAC